GCUGGGCAUGGUGGCUCAUGCCUGUAAUCCCAGCACUUUGGGAGGCCAAGGCGGGGGGAUCACCUGAGGUUGGGAGUUCCAGACCAGCCUGACCAACAUGGUGAAACCCCGUCUCUA
rfam:Gorilla gorilla gorilla genomic chromosome, chr5, whole genome shotgun sequence